rnacentral:tRNA from 1 species
AGGUCUUGGAGCUUGUAAAAGCAUCUGAUUGUUACUCAGAGGAAGGUUGUAAAAGUUAACCCAGGAUCUA